GAAGCGUCUGGAAAGGCGCGCGAUACAGGGUGACAGCCCCGUACACAAAAAUGCACAUGCUGUGAGCUCGAUGAGUAGGGCGGGACACGUGGUAUCCUGUCUGAAUAUGGGGGGACCAUCCUCCAAGGCUAAAUACUCCUGACUGACCGAUAGUGAACCAGUACCGUGAGGGAAAGGCGAAAAGAACCCCGGCGAGGGGAGUGAAAAAGAACCUGAAACCGUGUACGUACAAGCAGUGGGAGCACAGAGCAAUCUGUGUGACUGCGUACCUUUUGUAUAAUGGGUCAGCGACUUAUAUUCUGUAGCAAGGUUAACCGAAUAGGGGAGCCGAAGGGAAACCGAGUCUUAACUGGGCGUUAAGUUGCAGGGUAUAGACCCGAAACCCGGUGAUCUAGCCAUGGGCAGGUUGAAGGUUGGGUAACACUAACUGGAGGACCGAACCGACUAAUGUUGAAAAAUUAGCGGAUGACUUGUGGCUGGGGGUGAAAGGCCAAUCAAACCGGGAGAUAGCUGGUUCUCCCCGAAAGCUAUUUAGGUAGCGCCUCGUGAAUUCAUCUCCGGGGGUAGAGCACUGUUUCGGCAAGGGGGUCAUCCCGACUUACCAACCCGAUGCAAACUGCGAAUACCGGAGAAUGUUAUCACGGGAGACACACGGCGGGUGCUAACGUCCGUCGUGAAGAGGGAAACAACCCAGACCGCCAGCUAAGGUCCCAAAGUCAUGGUUAAGUGGGAAACGAUGUGGGAAGGCCCAGACAGCCAGGAUGUUGGCUUAGAAGCAGCCAUCAUUUAAAGAAAGCGUAAUAGCUCACUGGUCGAGUCGGCCUGCGCGGAAGAUGUAACGGGGCUAAACCAUGCACCGAAGCUGCGGCAGC
rnacentral:rRNA from 1 species